UUUUUUGGUGUGCAAUACCACACAUUUUAAUAAGUGUAGAUUAAUGUCACCACCACUACAAUCAAGAUACAGAACAGUUCUGUCACCUCAAAACACAUCAUUGUGCUAUCCCUUUGUAGUCACAUACUCCCCUUUAUCCCUAACUCCUGGGGACUACUGAUCUAGUUUUUAUCGCUAUCAUUUUAUCUUUUUGCGGGGGUCAUGUAAAUGGAAUCUACAGUGUAUAACCUUUUGAGAUUGGCUUCUUUCACUACACAUAAUGCCUUUGAAAUAUAUCCAAGUUGUUGUGUGCAUUAAUACUUUAUUAUUGCAGAGUAGUAUUUUAUUAUAAAUAUGUACCACAGUUUGUUUAUCCAUUUGUUAUUUAUUCAUUUACAUAUUGAAAGACAUUUCAGUUGUAUCUAAUUUGGGGAAUCAGGAAUAGAGCUGUAGUAAACGUUUGUGUGUGAGUUUUUGUAUGAACAUUUUCCUAGGGCAAACACUCAGGAGUAGGAUUAAUGGCCAUAUAGUAAGUGUAUAUUUAACUUCAUAAGAAGCUGCCAAACAGUCUUCCAGAGUGGCUGAGUCAGUUUUUGUUGCCAUCAGCAAUUUACAAGAGUACCUGCUGCUCUGCAUGUUCACCUGCUUAUGGUAUCAUCAUCAGUCUUUACAUUAGUUUUUUUUUUUUAACGUAGUCAUUAUCAUAGGUAUGUACUGGUCUCUUGUCAUGGUUUUAAUUUCCAUUACCCCAGUGGCUAACGAUGUUGAACAUAUUUGAUGCACUUAGUUGAUUUACAUAUGUCCAUUGUGAUGAAGUUCAAGUCUUUUGCCCAUUUUUAAUUGAGUUAUUUUAUUAUUGAGUUAUAACAGUUCUUUAUAUGUUCUGGAUACAAAUUCUUUGUCAGAUAUAUAUUUUAAAUAGACUUUCACCAAUCUAUACAUUAUUUCAUCAUUAUAUUUCAAUGUCUUUCAUAGAACAAUUUUUUAAAAAAGAUAAUGUUCAUCAAUUUUUAAAUAGAUUAUCUGUAUGGUGUCAUACCUAAGACAACUUUGCAUAAUCUUGGGUCAUGAAGAAUUUCUUUGAAUUUGGUUAUCAAAGUUGCUUUUUGAGCUCCUUCUUCUCCACUGUCUCCCCAGAAAUUGAUAGUUCCCUGCAUUCCCUUUUUGUGGUUGGAAAGCUGGGGCUUUAUUUACCCUGCUCUGCCACAUUUCCAACUCCACAGUCAAGCCUCAAGAGGCUAGAGAGAGAAAAAAUUAGUGGGGAUUCUUGCUACCCUCUUGGGGCCACAGCUCCUCUGCUCAGAGAAGAAAUUUAUGCCAGAAAUAUCUUAGGGUACAGUAUUCUUUUUUCUAUAUUUUGUACAAGUCUUCUGUUUUGGGUGCUGUAGGCUCCUGCUGCCAUGACUGUUGCUGCCAGUAGACUCUCCUGCUUCUUGAGCGGGAAGUAGUGGGCUGCUUCUUGAGAUCUCUCCACCCACAUCA
rnacentral:lncRNA from 1 species